AGUGAACGCUGGCGGUAGGCCUAACACAUGCAAGUCGAACGGCAGCACAGGAGAGCUUGCCCUCUGGGUGGCGAGUGGCGGACGGGUGAGGAAUACAUCGGAAUCUACUCUGUCGUGGGGGAUAACGUAGGGAAACUUACGCUAAUACCGCAUACGACCUACGGGUGAAAGCAGGGGACCUUCGGGCCUUGCGCGAUUGAAUGAGCCGAUGUCGGAUUAGCUAGUUGGCGGGGUAAAGGCCCACCAAGGCGACGAUUCGUAGCUGGUCUGAGAGGAUGAUCAGCCACACUGGAACUGAGACACGGUCCAGACUCCUACGGGAGGCAGCAGUGGGGAAUAUUGGACAAUGGGCGCAAGCCUGAUCCAGCCAUACCGCGUGGGUGUAGAAGGCCUUCGGGUUGUAAAGCCCUUUUGUUGGGAAAGAAAUCCAGCUGGCUAAUACCCGAUUGGGAUGACGGUACCCAAAGAAUAAGCACCGGCUAACUUCGUGCCAGCAGCCGCCGUAA
rnacentral:rRNA from 1 species